AUGGGCAGCUGUCGCUGAUACUGCUUGGCUUCAGUACACAAGAGGGUGGUGGAAUUUACUGUGUAGCGGGGGAAUGCGUAGAUCUCCGAAGGAACCUCUGUGGCGAAAGCGGACACCUGGUUCGACAGGGACGCCACUGUGCAAACGCGUGGGGAGCACAAAGGAUUAGAUACCCGGGAAGUCCGCACCGUUGGCGACAUCCACUAGCCGUUGGGGGACUUGGGUGUGCAAUGGCGCAGCGGACGUACUAACUAGACCGGGGGGGGAGUACGACCACGUAUUAAAACUCAACUGAAAAGAUUGCCGACCGCACAAGCCCCGGAGCACGCGGUGCAAUUCGAA
rnacentral:rRNA from 1 species